AAAUUGAAGAGUUUGAUCAUGGCUCAGAUUGAACGCUGGCGGCAGGCCUAACACAUGCAAGUCGAACGGUAACAGGAAGCAGCUUGCUGCUUUGCUGACGAGUGGCGGACGGGUGAGUAAUGUCUGGGAAACUGCCUGAUGGAGGGGGAUAACUACUGGAA
rnacentral:rRNA from 2 species